UGGGGAAUUUUGGACAAUGGGCGAAAGCCUGAUCCAGCAAUGCCGCGUGUGUGAAGAAGGCCUUCGGGUUGUAAAGCACUUUUGUCCGGAAAGAAAUCCUUGGCUCUAAUACAGUCGGGGGAUGACGGUACUGGAAGAAUAAGCACCGGCUAACUACGUGCCAGCAGCCGCGGUAAUACGUAGGGUGCAAGCGUUAAUCGGAAUUACUGGGCGUAAAGCGUGCGCAGGCGGUUUGCUAAGACCGAUGUGAAAUCCCCGGGCUCAACCUGGGAACUGCAUUGGUGACUGGCAGGCUAGAGUAUGGCAGAGGGGGGUAGAAUUCCACGUGUAGCAGUGAAAUGCGUAGAGAUGUGGAGGAAUACCGAUGGCGAAGGCAGCCCCCUGGGCCAAUACUGACGCUCAUGCACGAAAGCGUGGGGGAGCAAACAGGAUUAGAUACCCUGGUAGUCCGGCGCCCUAAACGAUGUCAACUAGUUGUUGGGGAUUCAUUUCCUUAGUAACGUAGCUAACGCGUGAAGUUGACCGCCUGGGGAGUACGGUCGCAAGAUU
rnacentral:rRNA from 1 species